CUGAAAAGUGUCCCCCCAAAUUACCCUCAAUUUUAUUACAAUGUCUGAUGCCCUCCCUCCAAUAGAUUGAUGAUGCUAUUAUUGUAGAAUUAGAUGAAGACAUUGUUGAAUCAAAACUCUCUUCAGUGUCCUUGUUCCCAGAGCUACCUGAGGCUGACAGGAUUAGAUUCAAAACACAGUAUCAAGAAAUGUUAGUGGGUGAUUUUGAGGUUGACAGCCUUGAGAGGUUGGUAUUGCCAUCUGCUAUAGAGAGGGAAAGGAGGAAGAGUAAUUUUGAACAUUAUAAGGACACCACACUCUCAGCCUUGUUUCUGGAGCUAAUGGUCGGAGUAUUUGAGUAAGUUACGUAGGAUGAUAAAGAUAAUUGAAGAACCACUCCAGUCUGGUUUAUAUGAUGUCCUCCCUACUACUAUUGGAAGGUUUGGCUCCUGAGGAUUUGAGGCUUUUGCUCUGUGGGUGUCAGCAGGUUGAACUUGACGUACUCAAAAAGAUAACAACUUUGACCAACAAGAGUUGUAGAGGUAUUCAGAAGAUAUUGAAGGUGUGGCCACAGACCAGUGUCCCUCCCCCUAAGAUUCACUACUUGAUUUUAGCACCAAUCCCAGUACAGAUUGGACUCAAUAGGUCAAUGGAAAUGAAAAAGAGGGACAGAAUGGGGACAUCAAAUUCAUUCAGCAGUGUGUGUCUUACUGGGUGUCUAGUCUAUGACUAUUGAGCUAUUGGGAUGGGUCUGUCCUGAGUCAGUUGGUAAACUCGAGCACUCAAUAUUCAACCAGUUGCAAGAUGUGUCUUGAAUGGGAGGAGACUAGGCUUUGAUGAACUGAGGACUUUAGUAGUGGACGGUUGUCUUUAUUAUUAUUAUUAAUUUUUUUGAAUGGCCUUUUGUUAAUAAAGCUAGCCUAUGCAAACAAAUGGAAA